ACUGAAUAGUUUACCUGAUAGUGUAGGAUAAAUAUGAAAUUAAAUAAUUAAGAGUUAUCUUAGUUUGGUAAGGAAAUAUAUAUGUAUUGUAAACAAAGGUCCUGACUAGCAAGUAGACAGAAGGCCUUGAAAAUUAUAAAUUACAAGGCCAGAAGGAGUGAAGUAGGGAGAAUGUCUUGUUCAAAGAAUAAUGAGAUAAGGGGAAGUUUUUACAAAGAAGAUCUUUGACCAACAGAGGUGAUUGCAGAUGGUUUUAGAUAAGACAAAAGGAAUGUCUUAAAAUGAGCCAAUAUGGCCCUUCCCAGUCCACACACUAGUGUUAAAGCCUGUGUGAAUCUAGGUGCAAUGGAAAGCUAUUGGGCAGCAAGAAGGAGGAAAGGACAGGCCUUAGGAAGAAAGGAGGUUAUAAAUCUGAUCUGGAUUAAGACUGGAAAUAAGGGUGAACUGUCUCAAAUUGUUUUUAGCUGAAGUCAGUAAUUGGCAAUGACAUCACUUGUUUGUUAAAGGAUAUAAAAAAGUAAACACUUAAAACGGUUCAUUGCUAAUACAUGCCGGACACCAUUGGAGCCAGCCAAUACGGAUCUAAGCACUCCUGGGUUUAGCUGGUUUGUACAUAUCUUGAUGAAAUGUUUGUAGGCGUUUAAUUACUGUUUGGGUGUAGUAAAUUGCUUAUUAUUUAGGCUUUUUAGGCACUUUUAGAGCAAUUGUAUAAGUACCUUUUAGCCUUUGGAUUUAAUAAAGGAAUUUAUGGUUACAUUAGUAUUUGGUGGUUCCCAUAUCAAUACGAAUCAUUUCAAAUAUUAAUUCCAACAGGAGAAAAAUAUAUAAAUAGCACACUAUUUUAC